CCCAAUUAAAGCUGUAUUAAUAAGCAAUCAAUCACCGGGACUUUAGCUGCUCAUUGCUGAGUUCAUGAACAUUUCAUAGCGUUCCCUCUGAUACUUGUUGAACUUAUUAACUUUUAAUCCCUGACCUCAUCCAUAAAUAAUCCGUUUCUGUCUGAUCCUCUGACAGAUGGACGACCCGAACUGCUGCCAACUGCUUCCCAUAUAAUAUUCAACACGCAUGUUCAUCGCAGCCAAACAAAGAGGCCACCGGGGCGGAGGAUGAUUCCUGGAUGGAUGUCGGUCUGUUCUAUGAGCUCAUCAACAAGGUUUGACCACAGACAGGAUUUACAUGAGAAAGGCAGGGAGGUGUUGGCUAAUAGGGUGAAAACAAUCCAGAGACUGGGAGCCUUUUCAGGAUGUGGCACUUCACUCUAUCAGCCUCCUCCUCCUCAUUAACCCACUAACUGCGGCUGCAGCCUCCAUCGUCGUCGCCUCCUGGUCUUUUGUCUGGUGUUUCCCUCCAGAAUUCCUGCCAGAGGCCGGAGCUCCCGUCCAUCUGUCGGCCUCCUCCGGCGGCAGAUGUUCGUCCUCCUUCCUUCUCCUCGACCUGCGCCUGGAGGUGAGCGUUCGGGGGUUGUGGACGGUCGGCUUGCUCCAAGAAGAAGAAGAAGCCUGCGUUGACACCAGUUAGGACAAUGAGAGGGAACAAUGGAGUGGACUGACACCAGGGAGGAGGAAUGAUGGGGGAAGCUGACUGAGCGUCUCCAUGUUAACACACCCUUCAUUCUUCUGCUGGGAGGACACAGUGAAGGGAUUAAAGUAGGGAAAGGUCCCAAGAAAUGCAUCGGUUAAUCAGCACAUUCAUCAGAAAAGUUAAAAAUAUGACCUAAGUGUAUAAAUCUCUCCAUAUAAUGUGCAAAUCCUCAAGCAAACUUUGCACGAAUCAGCUCUAAUGCUCACUUUAAUGUGUCUGCAUGCUUAAUUUAACCACAUUUCUUGAGAUUGGAACCCCCAAAACACAAUAAAACAAAAACUUUAUAAUGAUGAUGGAAAAAAAGUUAUAAAAUAUUAUUUUAAUUAUGGCAGGACAUCCUCAGUUUGUCAUUAAUUCACCACAUUAACCAAAAAAAAUGUAGAAAUAUUACCCAAAUUUAAGAAAAUCUCCAUGGAAUCGUGCAAAUCUGUAUGUAAAAGUUAAUUUAAUAAUCACUUUAUUUUGUAUGCAUACUUAUUUUAAUCACAUUUUUCAAGACUUGGAACACCCAAAAUGCGAUAAACCCACAGCUUUAGAAUGACAAUAAAUUAAAUAAAGGUCUAAAAAAUGACUAAUAAUGCAGCUGGGAGGAUGUAGCUCAUCAGCUAAUCAUCACAUAAGUCAGAAAACUUAAAAAUAUGACCUAAAUUUAAAAGAAAAUCUCCAUCUUGAGUGCAAAACUCUAUGCAAAAUUUACAAGAAUCAGCUCUAAUAUGAAGCUUAAUUUAACCACAUUUACUGAGACACAAACAUGUGAACUCCCAAAACACAGUAAAAGAAUCACCCUGCAUGCUGUUUACAACCACAUUUCUUCGGACUCGAACAUGCUAAAACCUGAAACACAAUAAAUCCAUAACUGUUAAAUACCAAAAAAGCAAAAUAAAUUAUAAAAGAUGCCCAACAAUGCUACAACAGAAACAUUCCCAUCCCAAAUAAUCCUGGCUGCACGUCUGCAUCUGCUCAGUUUACAAAUUCUUAUCUUGACGGAGCUCUUAUCUGCUGGAGGGAAACCACAAAUCCUGUGAUAAGAGAUUUCUGAAGAGCAGUGAGGCUUUAAAUGUAUUUAAAGCUGUUUAUUGUAGAUUCAGGAACUGGUUGACAUUUUUGGGAAAUACACUUAUUUGCUGAGAAGUUUAUCUUUGUACAAUAAAUGUGAAGCUAAAGCUAGCAGCUAGUUAGCUUAGAUUAGCUUAGCAUAAAGACCAGCAAGCCUUCCAUAGCGACAGAAAGACUUUUCCUGCACACAAAUAGUAAAGUAAACCACAUAAGUUGUGUUUUUUGUUGAAGAAAUCUCCCAGAAUGCACCUCUCUUGGAAAUCUAUGACUUGUUUUGUUUGUUUGCAGAUAAAAUGAACCAGAUACAACAUGCUAAAUCAGUAAAAUUUAGAGUUUUGAAGCUUCGGACAGCCUGUUUUCCUUCUGUUUUUUGCUCUUUUUAAGGCUGAACUAAACUAAUCAGUCACCUGCUGGCUCGGCUUCAACUGUCUCUCAGCAAGAAAGCAAAUAUUUCCCAACAGGGAGUGCAUUAUAAUUAAACUGUGAAGCGUCAAAUGGCGAAGUAAAAGAUAUUAAAAGCGGUCAAACACACAGCAGCAUUUGUAAUCUUGAUACAGAUGGACAGUUUUCACAUUAUCUUGAAACUACUUAGAGUUUGAUGUGUUUUUAAUAUCGAAUUGUUAUUGUUGGUUCUGUGAAGACACAGGGACAGAAUUCUUUAAUUAAAGCUACAUUAAUGGGAAAAUGCAGGUUCUUUUGGUGCUUUUUGUUUUGAGACCAGCUCAUAUUGGGUCACAGUGGGGAAAAGACGGCUACGCGCAACCCAGGAAAUGAGAUUCUGGACCGAGUCGGGUCAUGGAUGAAAUGUUUAAUUCUCUGUAAAUAGCUGCGAUCACACCACAGAGAAAACCUAUCAUUAAUGCUGCUGCAGUUUGUCUGAGACGUUAAUUAGCUGAGCGUCAGUUCGAGGUGGUGAAGUGUUUCCUCCGUCCACAUGACGUCUUUAGCCGCCGUGCUAAUGACGCCGUUUGAACUGGUGUCAAUGGUAAUGUCGCCGCAGCAAACACGUUUCCAGAUGAGACAAAUGCAAAUCUUAUUGACCAUUAACCUCCACUGAGGCCCACUGUCAGCCGCCAACUUCUGGAAGAUCCACCAGUAGCUUCCCACAGACGUCCUGAGAAGGUCUUUUAGUUUCUAGAACGUUCUUCAUUCUCAGAAUGAUUGUUGAUAACAUAGUUGGACCGUUAUGCUCUUAAACUAAAUGCUAAGCUAAGGAUAUUCUUUCUUUGGUGUCAUGGAACACUGUGGAACAAUCUGGGAUCAUUUUAUAGAUUCUAUAUGUUCCCUCAACAUCUCCAGAGCAUUGCAGCCAAAAUGUGUUUGUUGAUGUAUCGAACGUCUUGUAAAGAACGUUCUGUCAUCUGAGGUCUUGAUAAAAUCUUGAAAAUGUUCUUUUAAUGUUACAUGGAGAACAUCUUUUUCUUUUUUCACUGCUGAAACGUUUUCUACAGUAGAGAGCAUCUUAUGUGUUUCUGCAGCUGUGGUUUGAACAAUGUGUGACAGUAAAAUUAUGCUGUUUUACUGUAUUUAAAUACAUGAUAUUUGCCUGUAUUUUCACCUGUUUUCAUUGUAUUUUCAUAUUACAGUAUGUUUACCAUUUUAAACAUAUUUUUCAUGCAACUCUUGCUGUCAGAGUUUCACUUUUUUAUGUGUUUUUACUGAUUCUUCUUUUUCUUUUUACAGUCUAUACUUUAGGUUUAACAUCCAGGAUGUACAGCUUGUAAAAUAUAAUUUAUUGUUUGAGAUUAAACUGCCUAAAAGUGCAUAAAGUAGUGAGAUGAACUCUUUCUCCAUCCAGUAAUAUAACAGUAAAACUCUUUUAUGAACCAAUUUAGUUUUGUUUGAGUUUGUUUCUGUGUCUCUUCCGUACUUUCACCUGAGUUGUAUUUUACAUUCAAGACUUGUAAUUGGGUUUAUUACACUCUACAAUUCUGCUUCCACUGCUGCAGAAACUCCGUUAGGAAAACCUGAAUUAAAUCUUUUCUCUUUGGA